CGGCGGACGGGUGAGUAAUGUAUGGGGAUCUGCCUGAUGGCGGGGGAUAACUACUGGAAACGGUAGCUAAUACCGCAUAACGUCGCAAGACCAAAGAGGGGGACCUUCGGGCCUCUUGCCAUCGGAUGUGCCCAGAUGGGAUUAGCUAGUAGGUGGGGUAACGGCUCACCUAGGCGACGAUCCCUAGCUGGUCUGAGAGGAUGACCAGCCACACUGGAACUGAGACACGGUCCAG
rnacentral:rRNA from 1 species